rnacentral:lncRNA from 1 species
AAAAAAAAAAAAAAAAGUCUUAUGGUCUCGUUGCCGAGAAGUUCUCUUGAUAAUUUCUGCUACCUACUUUGUUAGAAUUUGUAGCUUACAAGUUCAUCGAGUAGUGCGAGAGCGUCGACAUUCUACUGUAAAAACUUCCAGAGCCAUUGUGUGUUUUGGAUAGAGCCGAUAUGAUAAAAAGUUUGUGGAUAAUGUUCGUUGAUAAAUUGCAAUGUGUUAAUGCUGAUCGACUUUGUCAUACUAACUCAUAAUCAUACUAAGAGAUGCAAGCAACAAUAACAAGUUUCCUGAAGAAUGUUCCAGUCGUACAGUUGGAAACAAUUAUGUCUGUAUAAGUUGUGGAAUAUCUUUGGAAAGGCACUCACGAAGAUAAAAUCACAGGCCACGGGCUUAUGGAAAGAAGUGAAGAGUGCUAUUAUAUAGAAAAACAAUCUCCGAGAUAGAUGCCUGAUGGUUGCCCAUGUAUGUGUUGUUUGCACGAUGAGCUCACCUCAAAAGCAUUAAUAUCUAGUGAACAUAAAAGCUGUGUUAGGUGUGUUGUUGCAAUGUAUACCGGGUGUUAGUGACAUCGUAACGAAUACUGAAAGGGAUGAUUCAGACCAUGAUUCUGAGUUAAUAUC